GAUGAACGCUGGCGGCGUGCCUAAUACAUGCAGGUCGAGCGAACGGACGAGAAGCUUGCUUCUCUGAUGUUAGCGGCGGACGGGUGAGUAACACGUGGAUAACCUACCUAUAAGACUGGGAUAACUUCGGGAAACCGGAGCUAAUACCGGAUAAUAUUUUGAACCGCAUGGUUCAAAAGUGAAAGACGGUCUUGCUGUCACUUAUAGAUGGAUCCGCGCUGCAUUAGCUAGUUGGUAAGGUAACGGCUUACCAAGGCAACGAUGCAUAGCCGACCUGAGAGGGUGAUCGGCCACACUGGAACUGAGACACGGUCCAGACUCCUACGGGAGGCAGCAGUAGGGAAUCUUCCGCAAUGGGCGAAAGCCUGACGGAGCAACGCCGCGUGAGUGAUGAAGGUCUUCGGAUCGUAAAACUCUGUUAUUAGGGAAGAACAUAUGUGUAAGUAACUGUGCACAUCUUGACGGUACCUAAUCAGAAAGCCACGGCUAACUACGUGCCAGCAGCCGCGGUAAUACGUAGGUGGCAAGCGUUAUCCGGAAUUAUUGGGCGUAAAGCGCGCGUAGGCGGUUUUUUAGUCUGAUGUGAAAGCCCACGGCUCAACCGUGGAGGGUCAUUGGAAACUGGAAAACUUGAGUGCAGAAGAGGAAAGUGGAGUUCCAUGUGUAGCGGUGAAAUGCGCAGAGAUAUGGAGGAACACCAGUGGCGAAGGCGACUUUCUGGUCUGUAACUGACGCUGAUGUGCGAAAGCGUGGGGAUCAAACAGGAUUAGAUACCCUGGUAGUCCACGCCGUAAACGAUGAGUGCUAAGUGUUAGGGGGUUUCCGCCCCUUAGUGCUGCAGCUAACGCAUUAAGCACUCCGCCUGGGGAGUACGACCGCAAGGUUGAAACCCAAAGGAAUUGACGGGGACCCGCACAAGCGGUGGAGCAUGUGGUUUAAUUCGAAGCAACGCGAAGAACCUUACCAAAUCUUGACAUCCUUUGACAACUCUAGAGAUAGAGCCUUCCCCUUCGGGGGACAAAGUGACAGGUGGUGCAUGGUUGUCGUCAGCUCGUGUCGUGAGAUGUUGGGUUAAGUCCCGCAACGAGCGCAACCCUUAAGCUUAGUUGCCAUCAUUAAGUUGGGCACUCUAAGUUGACUGCCGGUGACAAACCGGAGGAAGGUGGGGAUGACGUCAAAUCAUCAUGCCCCUUAUGAUUUGGGCUACACACGUGCUACAAUGGACAAUACAAAGGGCAGCGAAACCGCGAGGUCAAGCAAAUCCCAUAAAGUUGUUCUCAGUUCGGAUUGUAGUCUGCAACUCGACUACAUGAAGCUGGAAUCGCUAGUAAUCGUAGAUCAGCAUGCUACGGUGAAUACGUUCCCGGGUCU
rnacentral:rRNA from 1 species